GGGAUUUCUGGCACCCAUUGUGUUGCCCAGCCCUUGGAGCUCCUGAUACAUGGGGUUUUGAAAAGGAAGUGGAAAAAGAAGCAAUGCAUUUUGAAAUUUGUCAUCUUCUAAAGCCGCUGUUUGGUGCUUUUCCUGCUUGGUUAUGAAUGGUAACUUUCUCCAACCAAGCUUGAGCUGCCAAAUUUGACUUAGCCAAACAGUGACCAAGGCAUCCAAUACAAGGCCAAACUU
rnacentral:misc_RNA from 1 species